CAGUAGCCGCGGUAAUACGUAGGGGGCAAGCGUUAUCCGGAAUUACUGGGUGUAAAGGGAGCGUAGACGGUUAAACAAGUCUGAAGUGAAAUGCCGGGGCUCAACCCCGGAGCUGCUUUGGGAACUGUAGAACUGGAGUGUCGGAGGGGUAAGCGGAAUUCCCAGUGUAGCGGUGAAAUGCGUAGAUAUUGGGAGGGACACUGGCGGCGAAGGCGGCUUACUGGACGACAACUGACGUUGAGGCUCGAAGGCGUGGGUAGCAAACAGGAUUAGAUACCCGGGUAGUCCCUGUCUCUUAUAC
rnacentral:rRNA from 1 species